rnacentral:rRNA from 1 species
AUGCACGCUGGCGGCGUGCCUAAUACAUGCCAGUCGAGCGAACAGACGAGGAGCUUGCUCCUCUGACGUUAGCGGCGGACGGGUGAGUAACACGUGGAUAACCUACCUAUAAGACUGGGAUAACUUCGGGAAACCGGAGCUAAUACCGGAUAAUAUAUUGAACCGCAUGGUUCAAUAGUGAAAGACGGUUUUGCUGUCACUUAUAGAUGGAUCCGCGCCGCAUUAGCUAGUUGGUAAGGUAACGGCUUACCAAGGCAACGAUGCGUAGCCGACCUGAGAGGGUGAUCGGCCACACUGGAACUGAGACACGAUCCAGACUCCUACGGGAGGCAGCAGUAGGGAAUCUUCCGCAAUGGGCGAAAGCCUGACGGAGCAACGCCGCGUGAGUGAUGAAGGUCUUCGGAUCGUAAAACUCUGUUAUUAGGGAAGAACAAAUGUGUAAGUAACUAUGCACGUCUUGACGGUACCUAAUCAGAAAGCCACGGCUAACUACGUG